rnacentral:rRNA from 1 species
AUUGAACGCUGGCGGCAGGCCUAACACAUGCAAGUCGAGCGGAUGAAGGGAGCUUGCUCCUGGAUUCAGCGGCGGACGGGUGAGUAAUGCCUAGGAAUCUGCCUGGUAGUGGGGGAUAACGUCCGGAAACGGGCACUAAUACCGCAUACGUCCUGAGGGAGAAAGUGGGGGAUCUUCGGACCUCACGCUAUCAGAUGAGCCUAGGUCGGAUUAGCUAGUUGGUGGGGUAAAGGCCUACCAAGGCGACGAUCCGUAACUGGUCUGAGAGGAUGAUCAGUCACACUGGAACUGAGACACGGUCCAGACUCCUACGGGAGGCAGCAGUGGGGAAUAUUGGACAAUGGGCGAAAGCCUGAUCCAGCCAUGCCGCGUGUGUGAAGAAGGUCUUCGGAUUGUAAAGCACUUUAAGUUGGGAGGAAGGGCAGUAAGUUAAUACCUUGCUGUUUUGACGUUACCAACAGAAUAAGCACCGGCUAACUUCGU